AACAGAGUUAGGCUAACAGUGAGUGCUUUUGAAAAUCCUACCAAUUGCAUCUGUGGUCCUAUGGGAUAGAAAGCCAUUUCAGUCAUGUGAUCAAGAAGCAGAAGAAUAUCAUGCAAUUUGGGUAACAUCACACUACGCAAACAGCUAAUGGUUCCUGAGAGAUGCUAAUGUGCCACAGUCAGACAAACAGAUACCACGGAGAUUGGAGCUGUGAGAAAAACUCGUAGAGCAAUACACAUUUGGGUACUUCGUGGACAAACUGCUCCUGAAAAUGAAUCAAAGUCUCUCAAGUGCAUCCACAGGCUUCAGCAAACACUAGAAAGACUCUGGAGUUCAUGUACCAGGUCGUACCUGUCUACUGCCAUCAGAACUCAUCAGAGCUGCUUCCAGGUUACUGCACAAUUUUUCCUAUUCACUUGUUGGAAAAAUGUUUGCAAUCUUUUUCACAUCACACAGGAAUCCAAACUCAUUCAUGUGCUCUCGCAAUAAUUCAAAAUGUUCUCCCAGCUUCACAAGAACAGCAUCUACAGCAAUACUGAAGAAGUCAAAUUUAAAUCUCUUUUUUGCAUCAAACAAUGACUUGAACCUCUACUUCAUAGCUGAACAAUUUCUUUUUUUCUGUGGACUCAUGUUUCAGUUAGCAGAAAAAAUGUCAGUGCCUGUAGAACUAUCUGUUUAACAAUUAACAAUGCCUCUUCAAAUCCAUUUUCACGAUAAUUCUGUAUUUCUGUCCGAGUAGCUGCAAUUAAUUUGCUGACGUCGUCAAGACCAAGCAUUUUGCUUACAAUAUUUAUUUUUUAACAGUAAGUUUUGCCAAG